rnacentral:rRNA from 1 species
GACGAACGCUGGCGGCGUGCUUAACACAUGCAAGUCGAACGGUAAGGCCCUUCGGGGUACACGAGUGGCGAACGGGUGAGUAACACGUGGGUGAUCUGCCCUGCACUUCGGGUUACGCCUGGGAAACUGGGUCUAAUACCGGAUAGGACCCUGGGAUGCAUGUCCUGGGGUGGAAAGCUUUUGCGGUGUGGGAUGGGCCCGCGGCCUAUCAGCUUGUUGGUGGGGUGAUGGCCUACCAAGGCGACGACGGGUAGCCGGCCUGAGAGGGUGACCGGCCACACUGGGACUGAGAUACGGCCCAGACUCCUACGGGAGGCAGCAGUGGGGAAUAUUGCACAAUGGGCGCAAGCCUGAUGCAGCGACGCCGCGUGAGGGAUGACGGCCUUCGGGUUGUAAACCUCUUUCAGCACCGACGAAGCGCAAGUGACGGUAGGUGCAGAAGAAGGACCGGCCAACUACGUGCCAGCCGCCGCAGUAA